CAAGAAGUAAGAGCAUUCGCAGUGAGGACAAGCCAACACUGUCCACCCAAGGUCACAGGCCCCAUGACAGCUCUCCUCACGAGACAAGUAUUGCCUGUCUCCCCUCAGAUGGCUCUGCAGGACCUGUGGACUCUUGGAGCCACAACUGUGCCAUCAAGUGUGUGUCCUUAGUUCCUCAUGCAACCGACAAGGAGCUUCACCUCUCCGUCCUUAGCCUGCUCACCUACACUGCCCACUACCAAAGGGGCCAAGGGGUGUGACAACUAGCACCUAUGUAGCUCCCAGCACAGACCCAAACAAGGAAGGGACCCUUCUCCCUUGUCUAGUGUCAUCUGAACCUUCUCUGGCCUUCAGUGGAAGGGAUUCCAUUCAAAGCAGUGAGAGGUACAGGUGCUGGGGUCUCUGUCCCGUCCUCUGCCCUGCACCCUAGUCCUUUAAUGUCUGCCAGAUGAAUUCAGACAAGAACAGGGCAUCAUACAGGAGAAUGGCAGGUUUCUUAGAGAAACAGGGAGGCAUGCCGGAGAGUGAGGGUGGGCAUCAAAGGCCCACUGCAGACGGAAGGCCCUCAGGGUAGACGAUAGCCAGAGGGCCAGAGGCUGCGUGGUUAGGUGGGCUGGGUCCUGUGUUCCAAAGUGUCUGCACAGACAGCCUUCCUGAGAGGUGGCUUCCUGCUCAGGAGAUUGAUAGGCCACAUAGGCUGACACUUAAAGGAGGGGACGAUUGUGUGUCUUGUUCUUUCUCAGGAAGCUCCUGCCACAUCGCAUCUCACGUCCUUUUAGCGAUUGAGAAAGUCAUUUAAAGGAUCCAAAAGGAGUUUACAAGGCUGCAAAUGUCGUGCCAUUGCUUGAGUGCUUGCCUGGCUCUACAACGGCCUAGAUUUGAUCCGCAGCAGCACAGAAAGCAGGGCUGGGGUGCACACCUAUAGUCACAGCAGCCUGGUCCUUGACACAGCAGCAUGGGGACUCCCUGGGUUACGUGGGACCAGAUUCUCACGCGUGUGCAUGCAUGUGCAUGCCCAGCCCAAAUUAGGGCGGCUGAGAUGAUUCGGUGGAUAAAGCCGACCUGCAAGUUGUCAUCCGUACUCCACAGACACUCUUUCUCUGUACUGAUGGCUGCACGUGCUUUUCAUGUUGAUGGGGCUCAGUAUUUCCUGAAGGUCAAUGUCCAACAAGCCAAACCACCAACUGCAGUGUCCCCAUCUCUCCAGCCUGGCGGUGACCAGUCCUGUUAGCUGCGCUGCUCAUGUAUCACAGUGGCGAGGGGAGGACAUUGUCCUCAUGUCCUCAUCAACACAACCCUACAGCCUGGCCUUCAGGAUCAGCAGAAAGAAAGGCAGGUAAUGAACUAGGGGGCCAGUGGCCAGCAGGAUAGAAACUGCUGCCUAAGGACUUUGCUCUUUAGAACACGACAGCAAGAGUGGGCUUUUUGGUCACCUGUAGCAGAAGAAUUGCCAGUGGUAGAGGACCAUGGGCCCUGGGAAGGGGUGACCUUCAAUGGGGAAAGACCUUUGACAGUUGAGAAGGCUAUGUGUGCAGGUUCCUGGCAUGUGACCUCUGCCAUCGGAAGGAGGACGCCCCCAAUGGUCUCGUGUACAGUUCAAGGACUCUAGUGACAACCACUCUGUACCUAUUUCCUGUCGUGGAAUUUCUACUGAACAAAUAAGGGCCAUGAGUCCAGGGUCCUGUGACAGGAACAGUCCUGGUUGAUCCCAGUGUGGUCCUGGGCGAUGGGUCUGGGCAUUGGGAGCUGGGCUGCAGCUCAGUGGUGGAGAGCUACAAUCUCCCAUGCAUUUCCAUGUGGGAUUCCCGAGCGUGCUCUCUAUUUCACCCCUCAGCUGGGACUUGCUGUCCAGUCCUAACCCAAGUGACCCAAUCAGCAAGUGCAUGAAGCACUCCUGGACGCUCGCCCACUCUGUGUUCUUGGGUCUUCCUGACGCACUACAGUCUCCCUGAAACUGCUCUUCCUCCUCCUGGGGAAUGUCCAGCAUCCUUCACGCAGUCCGUAUUUCCUCUCUUGCUCACAUUUCCUACUUUUCUCACCACCGAGCGUUGCACGAUCCUCCAUUCUGAUUCCCUCUGUCUCCCUGUGUAUCUCUGCCCCACUAACUCCUGCGGCAGGAGGGAAGAGGCUGAAAAGGCUGUGUUGAGAAAGAAGGCAGCUGACAAAGACGAGAAGCCUGUCCCCACCCGCUUUCAUAUGGCAGAGCUCACUCAAGAGAUGCCUAGGGGAGGAGCUGGAAAGGUGGGUCAGGGCCAGAGGACCUGGAUUCCUUUCAACCACACAGUGGCUCACAACCUUUUGAACUCUAGUCCCAGGGGAUCUGAUGCCCUCCUCUGGCCUCUGGGGUACCAGACGUGUAAUGAUGUACAGAAAUAUGUGCUGGUAAAACACUACAAACACACACACACACACACACACAGAGAGAGAGAGAGAGAGAGAGAGAGAGAGAGAGAGAGAGAGAGAGAGAGAGAGAGAGAGCCUAACUAUAUAAAUGUAAUUUAAAAUAACAUUUUAGUGUGAUAUAGGGCUUGGGCACUGUCUGUCUUUGAAAGAUGGAGGACAAAUUCAUGGAAACAGUUCUGUCUUUCCACCUUUACAAGGGCUCCAGUGAUGGAUCACGUGUUGUCUCCAUUGCUUAGCAAACAACACUACCCAUUGCUCUAGCUCACCAGCCUCAGGAACAUCAUUAAUAUACAAGUGUUCUGAGCAAACUUGCACUCCAAGAAGUACUCACUUUUCUUUCAAAGAUGGCUAGCCUCCAAGGGCCAAUAUCCCAUCAACCUCACGUGUCUCAUGAAGCUCUUACAUAUGCACCUGCUUGCUCAAACCAUGCACAUUGCCGAACAUUGGCUCUGCUGCACCUUUUCCCUUCAAGGAAACAGUUUCAAGGCUCCUCUGGGCUCCGAUCUGCUCCCUUGGACAACUCACUUCCCCAUACAUGUUUCCGUGGCCUCCAGGGUCAAUCUGGUCAACGUGGGCGAAGGACCCAGCCAAACGCCAUGGCGACCAGACAGCUGUGUGCACAGACCAAGGAGAACCAUCAGACCUUAUUUUCAGACCUAUGGCCAUGCGGUGGGAGGUAAAACACUAAGUGUAUCUCCUCGUCUUCCUCACUGGGCAUGAGAGACUCCCUUCUUUCCUUCUCCACCCGGUUCCCUCAGAGAACCUAGGAGACAUGGAAUCCAGUGUGUGGGAAGAGAGCUUGAUGCCAUACUGUUUUUGCAAGGUUCCCCAGGCAACUGCCUUACUUUGCAGAUCACCAUCCACAGCUACCAAGGUUUUUAAACCGGGGCUGCCUAUUUGUAAGAAAUGAGUCUCGUGACUAAAGGUCCAGCCAACAUGCAAAGUGUCUGUCUGCUCUCAGUCCAAGCCGUGCACUCAUGGGACAAAGGGGGGGCCAUGGUUACAGAGGCCACACAGGGCUGCUGGUCUCACCUGCCCUACUCCUUCUGCUGCCUUUUUGGGUUCCUUUGCCUGGAAGCUGAGUGAAAUCAAAGACCCAGAUGACAUUGAAUUCACAGUUCCAUUUGUGUGGAGACAUAUGGACUCUCCUGUCUUUGAGACCUUGGGAUUCCUUCCUCUGUUACCCCGCUCUUUGGGGACUGCACACCACAGGGUACUUUCUUCUGUUAUGUCUAUGCUAAUCUAACUCAGACACUUGCUUGAGAAAUAAAGGGGUAGCUGUUUUUUUUUAAUUUUUUUUAAAAGAUUUAUUCAUUUAUUAUACAUAAGUACACUGUAGCUGUCUUCAGAUACACCAGAAGAGGGCAUCAGAUCUCUUUACAGAUGGUUGUGAGCCACCAUGUGGUUGCUGGGAAUUGAACUCAUGACCUCUGGAAGAGCAGUCGGGUGCUCUUAACCGCUGAGCCAUCUCUCCAGCCCUGUUUUUUUUUUUUUUUUUUUUUUAUUUGCACCCCAUGCGCUCAUGCCCUGGUGAGAUAUGGGCUCAUUUUAUGGAGCUGAGCACAUCCCACAAUCAAAAAGAAACCAAGUGUCUUUGUUGCCAUCGUGGCUGUUGCCUUCAUUAAGGUAGAGGUGACCAUGUGACCUUGCCAUUAGCCUGGCUAGCAACAUUAUCAAAACGGUGACAACUGCGAUGUUUUCCAGUAUCACAGAGCCCUCAGAGGAUCACUGCACCCCUGGGACUUCCUGUGCCACCGGCAAUCAGACACACAUCCCGAUCCUUCACUGUGUUUCCCGUUUUAUUUCAUCUCCCUGUGGAGAUGGGAUUCCUAAUGGGAUCAUGGGACUGGGGGACCCGGAAGAGACUCCGACAUGGGCUCUAUCACCACAUGACGAGAGUCAAAGCAUUUCCUGUAUAGUUGAAGGGAGCAGUAACACAAUCGUUUUGGGUUGGUGCAUUGUUUUGCAUGAUGUAUUUACUGCUUUCUAGAGAAGACUUAAGAGUUUUCCCAGCCAUCUGCCUCCAACAUGAGGCAGCUACCAACAGGAACUGACACUUUCAAAUGACUAAACCUGGGAAGACAUUUUUAGCAGCGGACAAACCAAGUGCACAGGACCCAAAGGAUACCCAGACACCAGACAAGUUGCUGCUAGUGUGCACCCCAGUGCGAAGAUGGAUCAGCCUGCUUGGGCAGCAGGCUUAAGGUAUUGACUUUGCACAUGCUGGCGAGGAUGUGGAGAAAGGAGGACACUCCUCCAUUGCUGGUGGGAUGGCAAACUUGUACAACCACUCUAUAAAUCAAUCUGGUGGUUUCUCAGAAAAUUGGAAAUGUUUCUGCCUUAAGACCGAGAUAUACCACUCCUGGGCAUACACCCAAAAGAAACUCCACCAUCCCCCCAGGGCACGUUCUCUACUAUGUUCAUAGCAGUUUUAUUUGUAAUAGCCGGAAACUGAAAACAACCCAGAUGUCCCCCAAAAGAAGAACGGAUACAGAAAAUGUGGUUCAUUGGCACUAUGAAACACUUUACUAUUCAACUCUUAAAAACGAGGACAUCAUGAAUUUCGCCAGCGAAUAGAUGGUACUAGAAAAUAUCAUAUUGAGUGAGGUAAUCCAGACCCAAAAGGACGUGCAUGGUAUGUACUCAUGAUUACACCCCACAGACCCAAAGAAGAUAAGUGAGAAGGAAGGCCCAAGCAAGGAUGGUUGAAUCACACUUAGAAGGGGAAACAAAACAGUUACAGGAGGCAGAUGGAGGAAGGACUGGGAGGGAAAGGGGAGGAGGAGGAGAAGGAGAAGGAGGGAGGAUGGGUAGCCAGGAUCAGAUUCAGGGAAAGACAGGAGAGAGGCCCAGAGGGCCAGAAGAAUGAAUAGAAAUCUGGAGCUGUGUAUAUGGAGGGCGGUGUCUCUAGGAAGUCAGAGACCUGGGAUAGGGGAGGCUCCCAGGAGUCCAUGAGGGUGACCUUAGCAGAGAUGCCUAACAUUGGGAACAUGGAACCUGAAAAGGCCACCUCUCGUAGCCGGGCAGGAACCCAAUGGAGAUAAGAACACCAACCCAUUAAUAAAAUUUUUGACCCUAAAUUUUACCCUGUCUAAAAGAAGUGCAGGGAUGGAGCAGAGACCAAAUGAAAGGCCAACUAAUAACCGGGCCAGCUCAACACCCAUCCCAUGGACCAGCGCCAAUCCCUGCAUUAUUUUUUUUUCUUCUUUUCUUUUUUUCAGAGCCGGGGACCAAACCCAGGGCCUUGCGCUUGCUAGGCAAGCGCUCUACCACUGAGCUAAAUCCCCAACCCCUCAAUCCCUGUAUUAUUAAUGAUACUUUGUUACUGACAAGCCAGCCCAGUCAGCAAACAGGGUCUCAAGGGAGGGAGUGAGGAAGAGAGAGAGAGAGAAUUAGACAUCAUUAUAACAAGACUUCAGCCAGUUCUGAGGCUGAAGCGGGUUUUUUUUUCCCCCAGUCUGCUUUUAUACCAUUCUAGGUACAUACAAAGUACAGGGUCAGUUCCUAGAUCAAUGACAAAGUGGUCAAGGAACAAACAAAGCAGUCAAACAAGGCCAUAAACACAGUCCCAUCGGGAUGAUCAACAUAAAAGGAACAAGAUACAUUCCUCGGCUGUAUUUACCUUGUAGUAGCCCAAUGUAAACAUUCCUAUCUGAGGUACUUCCUUGUCCUCCUUGACCAAAGUAAAUAUUCUUGCCAAUGUCCUCGAAGCAGCACCAAGGGCUCUCCAUGUGUUAUGCUUGCAGACAGGAGCCUAGCGAAACUGUUCUAAAGAGCAGCUCUACCCAGCAGCUGGAUGAAACAGAUGCAGAUACCCAGUUGGCAUUAACAAAGUUGGGGACAUUUAUGGAAGAGAUGGGGGAGGAGUUGAAGGCCCUGAAGUAGAUGAGAAACCUACAAGGAGACAAAUAGAAUCAACAAAUCUCUGAGCCACCAACCAAAGAACAUGUAUGGGCUGGAAUAAGGCCCCAGGCUCAUGUGUAGCAGACAGAUAGUUCAGUCUUCACGGCUGCCUUGUCUGGUCUCAGCGGGAGAGGAUGCACCGAAUCUGGCAGAGACUUGAUGUGCCAGGGUGGGGAAAUACCCAGGGGAAGGAGCCCACCCUCUCAGAGGAGACAGGAGAGGGACGAGGGACUCUGUGAGGAAGGGACCAGGAAGGAGAGCAUCGUUUGGGAGGUAAAUAAAUUGACAAACAAAUUUAAAACAAGGUACUGGCACUGCUACAUCUUAAAGUCUGCUCUUUCUGCUCUGAUUUUCUCUAAGGUGAAAUAUUCUUUACAUUCUCAAGACUCCUAUGUUCUGCAUGGAUUGUCUGUUUUUCUUUCUUUCUUUCUUUCUUUCUUUUUUUUAUUUAUUCUUUUUUUCGGAGCUGGGUGCCGAACCCAGGGCCUUGCGCUUGCUAGGCACGUGCUCUACAACUGAGCUAAAUCCCCAACCCCCUUUUUUGUUUCUGUUGCCUCCCUGUGAACCCUCAGUACCCUUGUGUCUCAGUCACUGUCCUACUGCUGUCAAGAGACACCAUGACCAAAAUGACCCUUGUAAAAGAAAGCAUUUAAUUGGGCCUUGCUGACAGUUUCAGAUGUUAGUCCGUUAGCGUUCUACACCCUGACUGGUAGGCAGGAAGAAAGGCUCUGGGUUUGGCAUGGGCUUUUGAACCCUCAAAGCUCACCUCCAGAGACACACUUCCUCCCACAAAGCGGGAGCUCCUAAUCCUUCUAAUCCUUUUUAACAAUGCCACUCUCUGGUGAGUAAACAUUUAAAAACAUGAGCCUUCGAGUUCUCAUUCAAACCACCACACCUAGCUUCUGUUUUACUUUACAAUGAUAUCACAGGCUCAGGAAAGAAAAGUCUGCUGGUUGAUUUUUUUUUUCUUUCAGAUGUUGCUUUUCUGAAUUACAAGUAGUAAAUAAAUAAUAAUCAAAUUAAAUGACUGUUGACAGUCACUCCAUGGAGAGGAUACUGAGAGAACCGUCCUACUAGAAAAAUCAGAACAUGGCUAAUAAAUGUCACAAUAAAAACUUGGACACUUAUAGAAAUGUAAAUAACAACAACAACAACAACAAUAAUAAUAAUAAUAAUAAAUGAAAAUAAUCACUCUCAUAACUUUUGAAGAGGAAUGGGAGGCCAAGAAUUUUUUUCUGUGGAUCCUACCAGGAACUUCUGAUAGAUUUAAGCAUGAACCAGAGGUGGAUAAAAUGACUUUUCUUCAUGGGGCUAGGCAUUCAUCUCUAUUGUAAUUUAAACGAAGGGAACACAUGCCUUCUAUGAGCUAAAACUGCAAUUAUAGUUAACCUGUUAGUAUUUUUCAGUCUAUGUGCCUCAGGGUUCCAUUGCUGUGAAGAGACACCGUGACCAAGGCAACUCGUAUAAGGACAACAUUGAAUCGGGGCUGGCUUACAGGUUCCGAGGUUCAGUCCAUCAUCAUCAAGGUGGGAGUAUGGCAGCCUCCAUGCGGACAUGGCACUGGAGGAGCUGAGAGUUCCACAUCUUGUUCCAGAGGCAAACAGGAGAAGGCAGACUCUUCCACACGGGGCAGAGCUUCAAAGCCCACCCCACAGCGACACAGUUCCUUCAACAAGGUCACACCUCCUAAGAGCGGCACUCCCUGUGGGGUUCUUUGAGACCACAAAACUGGGAUAUAAAAGUCCAAGCGAAGGGUGUUGCUUCCUACUUGCAUCAGAGGAAGCUUGGUGACUAAAGUGUGUUGGAGGCCAUCUUAAUGUGUUACAAGAAUCUACCAUGUAGUUUGGAUUCCGCUUUCUUUUAGAAGGAGGUGUUGCACAGGGCUGUCUUCUGAGCUCUUUCCAGAUCCAUGACUGCUGUGUGCCUGUUUGGAAGAGACCAGCAGCCGGGCUCGUUGGGAGCUGGUUCUGUGAGAGGACGAACAAGAUGGACAGACCCUUGGCUCAACCAACCAGAAGGAAGAAAGAGAGAGCCCAAAUGAAUAGAAUCACAAUUGAAUAAGGAAACAUCGCAAUAGACAUCAAAGAAAUUCAGAACGUUAUAAGGGAGUACUUUAAAAAUCUGUACCCCAUCAAGUUGGAAAAGUCUAAAAGAAAUGGGUGGAUUUCUAAAUUCAUCUGCAGCACCAUAUUUAAACCAAGAAGAGAUAGUCAAUUAACCAGACUUGUAACAACAGGGUAGGAUUCUCUGUAAUGGCAAUUUUAAAAAGUUCUUCUCUACCCAUGGCUAGCUCCUAAAUGAAUGAGAUGGAGAUAAUUAGAUUUAUUUAACCAAGCCUUACUGCAUAAUACCUGGGUAGUUAUUGAUCUAUUUUAAUCCUCGGAGAUAAUCUGGCUAUCUGCCAGCCAACCCCACCCCCCAGUAUUUACAUGGUAGUAUUUGUCUGGCUUUCUGUGUUUCAGAUGUGCUUUCCAGGUCUCUCUCCUCACCCUCCUCAUGGCUGGAUAUCCCUUACUCUUCUCAGUCUCCUUCUACCCAGCCAUUGGCUAAUCAGCUUUUAUUGACAAGGCAUAGAAUAAGUGGUAAACAUAGUUUACAUUAACUUGAAACAGGAAAUAUUUGGAAUGAGCAUUACAAUGCUGUGUCCAGAUUGCAACAGGUUAUGAGGACAGAGAGGUCAGCAUUUGACUGUCUUUACAUAGGGCACAAACACAUCAUGCCUGCAUUGGCCCCUUUGUGUCCAAUAAAAGACUCUUUCUCAGAUAAUAAUGAUCUACACACAAUAAUAACGAUUAUGAAGACUAUCAGGUAAGAUUGAUAUAAUAAUAUAUUGUACACAUGUAUUUGGUAAUUUUGGAUGAAGUAUUCUACUAUCUAUACUAUUGGUGAGUUCAGAGUUCUGUACCUAAAUAAUUUUCUAAUCAUAAGUUGCAUUACUAAACGAAAAACAUCUAUUUAAAUCUUUAAAAACUUAAAUUUCUAUAUGAGACUAUAACUAUAGAGUCUUCAAUCCUGUCAUAGAUUUAAGAAGGAAUAAAAUUAUCUGAGUAAGCAGGAAGUGCAGAGCAAGCAGCUUCCAUAACUAUAGAAAUGAGAGCUAUAGCUGACCAUCUGAACAGUCUUCCACAAAUGUCGCUAUAACGUUGGACCAUCUGUCUUCAUCCUUCUGGCCCAGAAUAUCUGACAGACCUGUUUGUGUAGCAAGAAUUAUGAAGGACUGCUUACCGUGUCUUGUCAAAGCUCAGCAGUUGACUUCCCUGCAUUCUGUCUGCAGCUGAAUCAAGGGGCAGUUUUCUGCCCAGUGGCUGCUGGCCACAUUUGAAGUGAACUCUGGAAGUUCUUCAACGUUCAUCUCCUUUGAAGUGGACUGGGAGUACUGCCAGGAUCGACCUGUCUCAUAACAAAAAAG
ensembl:lncRNA